GAUGAACGCUGGCGGCGUGCUUAACACAUGCAAGUCGAACGAGAAGUGAAGACGGAAACCUUCGGGCGGAAGGCUUUAUUUCGAGUGGCGGACGGGUGAGUAACGCGUGGGUAACCUGCCUCAUACAGGGGGAUAACAGUUGGAAACGACUGUUAAUACCGCAUAAGACCACAGCACCGCAUGGUGCGGGGGUAAAAACUCCGGUGGUAUGAGAUGGACCCGCGUUCGAUUAGCCAGUUGGCGGGGUAACGGCCCACCAAAGCGACGAUCGAUAGCCGAUCUGAGAGGAUGACCGGCCACAUUGGGACUGAGACACGGCCCAAACUCCUACGGGAAGCAGCAGUGGGGAAUAUUGCACAAUGGGGGAAACCCUGAUGCAGCGACGCCGCGUGAGUGAAGAAGUAUUUCGGUAUGUAAAGCUCUAUCAGCAGGGAAGAAAAUGACGGCACCUGAGUAAGAAGCCCCGGCUAACUACGUG
rnacentral:rRNA from 1 species